CCUACGGGUGGCAGCAGUGGGGAAUAUUGGGCAAUGGAGGAAACUCUGACCCAGCAACGCCGCGUGAAUGAUGAAGUUUUUCGGAUUGUAAAGCUCUUUUAUAAGGGAAGAAGAAAGUGAUGGUAGCCUAGGAAUAAGCCUCUGCUAACUACGGGCCAGCAGCGGCGGUAAUACGUAGGAGGCCAGCGUUAUCCGGUAUGACUGGGCGUAAAGGGUGCGUAGGUGGUUGGGCAAGUUAGUAGCGUAACUCCCAGGCUCAACCUUGGAACUACUACUAAAACUGUUGUACUUGAGUGCAGGAGGGGCAACCGGAAUUCCUAGUGUAGCGGUGGAAUGCGUAGAUAUUAGGAGGAACACCAGUGGCGAAGGCGGGUUGCUAGACUGUAACUGACACUGAGGCACGAAAGCGUGGGGAGCAAACAGGAUUAGAUACCCGAGUAGUC
rnacentral:rRNA from 1 species